rnacentral:rRNA from 1 species
GACGUAGGGCGCGAGCGUCGUCCGGAUUUAUUGGGCGUAAAGAGCUCGUAGGCGGCUCGUCGCGUCGGUGGUGAAAUUCCGCAGCUUAACUGUGGGCUUGCCGCCGAUACGGGCGGGCUGGAGUUCGGUAGGGGAGACUGGAAUUCCUGGUGUAGCGGUGAAAUGCGCAGAUAUCAGGAGGAACACCGGUGGCGAAGGCGGGUCUCUGGGCCGAUACUGACGCUGAGGAGCGAAAGCGUGGGGAGCGAACAGG